rnacentral:rRNA from 1 species
UUUAGUAGUCAUCCGCUCGUCUCAAAGAUUAAGCCAUCAUGUGUAAGUGUAAAUAUACUAGUUUGGAACUGCGAAUGGCUCAUUAUAUCAGUUAUAGUUUAUUUGGUGAAGUGUACUACUUGGAUAACCGUAGUAAUUCUAGGGCUAAUACAUGAGAAAGUCCUCUGGUGAGGUGUGUUUAUUAGAAUGAAAACCAUAUGCUUCGGCAUGAUAGUGAGUAAUAGUAACCUAUCGUAUCGCAUGCUUAAUGUAGCGAUGAGUCUUUCAAGUUUCUGCCCUAUCAGCUUUCGAUGGUAGUAUAUGGGCCUACCAUGGCAGUAACGGGUAACGAAGAA